rnacentral:rRNA from 1 species
GAACGCUGGCGGUAGGCCUAACACAUGCAAGUCGAACGGCAGCACAGGAGAGCUUGCUCUCUGGGUGGCGAGUGGCGGACGGGUGAGGAAUACAUCGGAAUCUACUCUGUCGUGGGGGAUAACGUAGGGAAACUUACGCUAAUACCGCAUACGACCUACGGGUGAGAGCAGGGGAUCUUCGGACCUUGCGCGAUUGAAUGAGCCGAUGUCGGAUUAGCUAGUUGGCGGGGUAAAGGCCCACCAAGGCGACGAUCCGUAGCUGGUCUGAGAGGAUGAUCAGCCACACUGGAACUGAGACACGGUCCAGACUCCUACGGGAGGCAGCAGUGGGGAAUAUUGGACAAUGGGCGCAAGCCUGAUCCAGCCAUACCGCGUGGGUGAAGAAGGCCUUCGGGUUGUAAAGCCCUUUUGUUGGGAAAGAAAUCCAGCUGGUUAAUACCCGGUUGGGAUGACGGUACCCAAAGAAUAAGCACCGGCUAACUUCGUGCCAGCAGCCGCGGUAAUACGAAGGGUGCAAGCGUUACUCGGAAUUACUGGGCGUAAAGCGUGCGUAGGUGGUUAUUUAAGUCCGUUGUGAAAGCCCUGGGCUCAACCUGGGAACUGCAGUGGAUACUGGAUGACUAGAAUGUGGUAGAGGGUAGCGGAAUUCCUGGUGUAGCAGUGAAAUGCGUAGAGAUCAGGAGGAACGUCCAUGGCGAAGGCAGCUACCUGGACCAACAUUGACACUGAGGCACGAAAGCGUGGGGAGCAAACAGG